UACGUAGGGUGCAAGCGUUAAUCGGAAUUACUGGGCGUAAAGCGUGCGCAGGCGGCUUUGCAAGACAGAUGUGAAAUCCCCGGGCUUAACCUGGGAACUGCAUUUGUGACUGCAUGGCUGGAGUGCGGCAGAGGGGGAUGGAAUUCCGCGUGUAGCAGUGAAAUGCGUAGAUAUGCGGAGGAACACCGAUGGCGAAGGCAAUCCCUGGGCCUGCACUGACGCUCAUGCACGAAAGCGUGGGGAGCAAACAGG
rnacentral:rRNA from 1 species